GAUUGCAGGCUGAAACUCGCCUGCAUGAAGUCGGAAUUGCUAGUAAUCGCAGAUCAGCAUGCUGCGGUGAAUACGUUCCCGGGCCUUGUACACACCGCCCGUCACACCAUGGGAGUCGGUAACACCCGAAGCCUGUAGUCUAACCGCAAGGAGGACGCAGUCGAAGGUGGGAUUGAUGACUGGGGUGAAGUCGUAACAAGGUAAC
rnacentral:rRNA from 1 species